UGAAGUAGGACAAAGCUACAUAGAUGAUGCGAUUAAGCUGGCUCACAGCCCCAUUACAUUAGUUUCCAAUCUCUGGCAAAGAAUGCAAAACGAAAUGAUGCGGUGUUUAAAACUAAACACAGCUUGAAAAGGUACCUGAGCGAUGGACAAGUGGCGCCUGCAACAAAAUGUUGCAGCGCAGUGGGCUGCUCCAGUUCAGGAUUCCAGGGAGGGAGGGAGGGAUCUUUCUAGGUUACUCAAUUCCAUUUCCUCUCCACUCCCACAGCCAUCCAGCAUUCUGAGCAGGCUCACUGGGUUUUACCCUCCCCCAAGUGUUAGGGAGUGUGGCAUUCCUGCCCCCCUUACUUCUGCAGACCUGGGGUUCCCCCAAGCUCACUAGCAGCUAGCUACCCGAAGGGGCAGCUUCACGGGCUGGGGUGCUUCUGGAUCCAGCUCAGUCAUGGUAGGCUCAGGUGGACUGUGGGUAAAAGUGCCAUUUUCGAACUGCAACUGGUUUGACAACUACGACCAAGUCCUGGACUGGGAGAGCCUGGCCCCAGGAGUUUGUGCACUGGUUCCUUCAAGGCUGGAUUACUCUAUGUGGGGCUUCCCUUGCACUUGAGCCGGAAGCGACAGUUUAGUGCAGGAUGCUGCAGCAUGAUGCUGACAGGUGGGACGCCUUGCCAGCACCCAGCCCCUGUGCUCAAGAAAGCUACACUGGCAUUGCCAUCCUAUAUAAAGGCCUAAAUGCCUUGAGACCAGUUUGCCUGCAGGAUGGCAUCCCCCCAUAUACACCCACCUGACUGCUUUGAUCAGCAGAACUGGCACUGUGGCAGAUGCCACAGUCAGGGCCGUCUUACCCAUAGGUGCUAGGGGUGUGGGGCACCCGGGCGCCAGGCUCUCAGGGGCGCCAGGCCGAGAGUCCGAGGCCCGAGAGUUGAGUCCAGGGAAGAGCCUGACCGUUGGUCAGAGCUCCGUGGCAGACUCUUCUGCUGCGGGCAGCUCUGCGCCGCGAGUUCGGGGGUGACUGAGCCAGCAAGACGCUGAGGCGGCCGGCUGGCUCCGCACUCCUGUGCGCCUGGGACUGGGCAAGCUGGGGGGUGCGCUGGGCAGAUCUUUUCACCCCGGCACCGCAUAUGCUUAAGACAGCCCAGGCCACAGUUGUAAGAACUUGAGCUUUGAGAGUUCCAGCACCCAAACUCUGGAACUCCCUGCCUCUUGAUAUCAGGCAGGCACCUUCCCUGGACUUUUUAUGGCUAAAAACAUUUUUUGUUUAUACAAGCCUACCCAGAUGUUUAGAAAGGCAACACAAGUUUUAAGCUGUUUUCAGUCUAUUAUUAUUUUAAUUUUCCAAAAGUCUUUAAUCAUUGUUAAUCCUUCUUAUUGAUCAUUUGUUUGUUUUAUCCUUUGUAAAACUUUUUUGAGGGUUGUUUCCCCCCCACAAUCAAGCAGUGUAUAAAUUUUAUUAAAUAAAAAAUUUAUUAAGUAAGGGUCUACACCCAGCACAGAAGGGAAUGAUAGAAUUUGUGGAACAAGUGACAGAUAACAAAAUGUGCUGAUGCAAUAAGGAAGUUCAGGCUUCAGGAAUGGAGAGACGUCCGCCUGCCUUGGAGAUGCCACAGGGCUCUUUAAAGCACUUUGUGGCAACCAAGUUCCUUCCAGAUGUUUUGGACAGAAAUCCCCAAUAGCGCCAGCUCACACAUCUGUGCUAGCCAGUCAGAAACAUCUGGAGGGCACCCAGAUGGCAAAGGCUGAUUUAGAGGAAAUUGGAGGAGCUCCCCAACAUCUUCAGGUCUGCAUAAUUAAACUUUUUUGCCUUGCCUAACGAAACAGGCAGCAGGUCAAUGAAUGGAAUUAUUUCCAUGGAGAGACCAGCUCUGGAUCUAGAAGCACCGAGAUGCUACAAUGGGCGGCAAUAGGCAAGGCUUCAAAGAAUGCUUGGAGAACUGCAAAGAGGACUGGUCCCUUCUCAGUCACAGGGCCACCCUCCGCAUUCAGGGACAGCAGACUUCCAUGGCUGGGGCUCUCAUGAGGCUGUUUGUUGCCAGCAGACUGAAUACUGCAUUGAGCUAAGCUGACCCAGCAAAGGCAAAAUUGUACAUCACAAAUUAACACAAUACUCUCCCUCGGCUGUCACCUGGGGCAGCCAUUCCAUCGGAUGGAGAGAUAGGAAGCCAGAUUCAUGCCAUCAGCUUUGCUGAAAGCCCAGCUCCAUCAGGCGCCUCCUGCCCCUGAACUGGGCCCGCUGCUCAUUAUAGGAACAAAAGGCUCUUUAGAAACUGGUGGCUGAGCUUGGUUUUUCUUUUC